AGUCACCCUAAGCUCUAAUAUUAUAAUUCUUGUCUAUUUAUAAUAAUUAAUUAAUUAUAAAAUAUAAUAUUAGUGUUGACGGCAAUGUUACCGGGCCAUUAUAUUAGGCAAUUUAUAAUAUUAUACGAAGAACCGUGGUCGUUGUAUUGUGACGCGUCUAGACUCGUGUCUAGUAUAGUCUAUUUUACGGACGUCGACCGGCGAGCGGGCACGAACGCUACUGCUUGCUGCAAUCCUGUUAUCGAAUUAGUUCAAAGCCGGUUGUACGGUACCUCGGUGAACGAGCAAAGAGAGUUUUUUUUUCACCGUCGCUGUAUUUAUUUUUGUAUAAACAAUAACAAUAUAUUGCUAAAAUAAUAUUAUCUCAUCGUCGUCCCACGCACGACGUUCGCGUACACCUGUAAAAAUCCAAAAAUCACGUUUUUCACGUUACGUGCGGCCGCCGCCGGUGGUAAUAAACAAUCAGUCGUUAAUGUUUACAGCGUAUCGUUACUAUUGUAGUACGUACAUUAUAAUAAUAGUAAUAAUAAUAGUAAUAUGUCGCUAUUGCAUUGUUAUUGCACCGCAUUGUUGACGGCCGGCUAUUCCGGCCCGUCGGGCGGCCGAAACUUUCGAAAAUCCGGAGCCGGCCGAUGAGGCCCUGUUACGAGUACGGUCCGGUUUGGCCUCGACGCCGGUCAAGACGCGUGUUUUCCGGUCGACGAUGCGCUCGACAAUCGCCCAACGCGGAAGCAAGGGCCGCCGCCGAGCGCGAGAAUAGAUAACUCGCCGCCGCCGGUGUGCACUCGCUCCGUUAGGUUGUCUAUUGGCCACCAGGGGACCAUGAAGCACCGGUCGCCGCUUUCAAAUCUCACGCCGAGUCGCUAUGCGUUGCGUGUCCAGCGUUUACCUUGGCGUCCGAUACCAGGACACGAGCCGAACGCCGAUCCUGGCUACGAUAUCGUUAAACGCAUACGAUUUUAUACCGCGGUAUGAUCGGUAAACAGUUUUCAUCUCAUAGGUACACACGAGGAUUUUCGAUCGGCGCCGAUAGAAUGUAUAUUAUGCGAGUCGGGCGGAAAGAUUAUUGUUGGUUGGACCGACGACGACUGAUAUCAGUGAUACCGCGUAUACGCAGGCUGACAGGCUCAGCAGUCGGUGACUGUAAAUUGUGGGUGCAGGAAAAACAAUUUCGAUAACUUGCACCACGCAGCUACGAUAUUUGAAAAUCUGUUUUUGCUUAGACGAUUUAAAAGGUUUGCAGGUCACAGUAUAGCAAUAAUUGCAAGUCGUCAGUUGUACUAGGGUUCCAUACAUUUCCUCCGAUCGUCCAACGAGGACUUGCUGUUGGGAUGAGUCCGUGAAUGUACGUGUGCCACUGUGUGUGAUGACGUCGUACUGCGUGGGCCAAACAUUAUGCUACUAUAGGCUCGUCUACGUGUUUAGAUCGGAACACCGCACACACUUGCGAUUGUUUCUACACACAUGUUCGUGUUUCCACACACGGACGUGGAUUUCUAGUGUUUCUACACACAUAUCGACAUGGUUAUACUUUUAGUCCGCACUACCAGUUACCAGGGUACCAUGCUUAAAGCUGUGAUCGAACAAUAUAACGAAGGUAAGUAUGUGUGGUUCCUUGUAAUGUCAUAUUAAAUCUAUUGUGCUCAUCAUUUAUUAAAGAUUAAUAUGAUGUAAUACAUAUUUUUUUAAAUUCUUUUUUUGAA